UAUUUUUUAUAUACCACCCUGAACGUGCCCAAUCUCGUCUGAUUUCAGAAGCUAAGCAGGGUUGGGGCUGGUUAGCACUUGGAUGGGGGAAGCUCUUUUUAUGGAUAACAGUUUGGAGUCAUGA
ensembl:rRNA 5S_rRNA 5S ribosomal RNA